ACCAGACUGAGUACGGUGCUAGACACGACUGGUUCAUGCGCACACACGAAUCAGUAUUGUUCUGCACACGACUGAUUACGGUGCUGCAAUUCGGGUGCUGCACCAGACUGAGUACGGUGCUAGACACGACUGGUUCGGGUGCGCACCAGAACCAGUCGUGUGCUUGCCCUUAUUUUUUCUUGCACACGAACCAGUCGGGUUUCAAUUUUUCCGUGCGGUAAUUUUUAAAAAUUGUGCUACAUAUAUUUUAUUAAUGCUUAGCAGAUUAAAUUAAUGAAAUAAAUUUGAAUAAAUAACUCUUAGAACGUAUUUAUUAUUAAUGUAAAUAAUAAAUAUUUUCACUGAAGUAUAAUAUUUACGAAGCAAAAAUAUAAACUUUAUGAAGCAUAUAAAAAUACACUUUAUAUUUAUUGAAUAUCUCUGAUCAGUAGAAAGUGUAGUUCAAUCUCAGCACUUUUUACAAUUUGACUUAGUAUAUUGUCACGUUAUUAUACGAAUCAUUACCCUUUUCCCUUAACAAUCGGUCCGAACAUGUUUUUUUUUUUUUUGUUUCUUUAGUUUACUGCGCAACUACUUAUAUUUCUUUUGUUAGAAUCUCGGCUUGCAUCAACGCGGAUGAGUUUUACCAGUGAAUUUGUGUGAUCAGUUACGAGCAGUAGUUAAUGGUGAAACAAAAACAUUUUUGUGGUGAAAUAAAAAAAUAAUAUAUGUAAUAUCGGAUGUUGUGGAUAUUGGAAUAGUAAGGUAAUCACAGGAAAAUGUAAGAUUUCUGCAAAAGCAUAUCAUUAAUUAUGUCCAGCUGUUUCUGGACAUUCGAACCUGUCACAUAAUUUAUUAGCAAUCACCGAUACAACUCAACCUGGUUCAUCAAGAGAUACGAUUUCAGUUAAUCCAGUUCCAAUUUCUGACAACUCAUUUAAUUUAUUAAAUUAUUUACAUAAUGAUGACAAUGAUCAGAACCAGGAACCAGAAUUGCUGAAAAAGCUUAAAUCUCACCCGCACGGAUUAAACAUUUUAAACUGUUACAAGCUUAAUAAAACGCUAACAAAACCCACUCGAAAUUCGCUGGGACGACUAAUUAUUCAAAAAGAGCAUGAAGCAAACUGAUCUGAGUACAUCUCAUAAGAGGAAAAAAUGUAAAACAACUCAAUCGACUUCAACAGUUGUUGAGAAAAAGUGGAAUCCUACAAAGUCUGAAGCCCGUGGAGGAUUUUUUUUUCAUGUUCAGACAUCUAAUGACGUAUUGACCAGUUGGAAAAGAUUACAGAAUACUUUGGAAACCUACGGUCUUCCACUUCAACCAAGACCUAUUGUUGUAGGGUCUAUUGAAAAUAUCAUUUCAUAUCAUUCAUUUAUUGAUGACGUGCAAUAUAAUUUUCAAUCAAGUAUUGAAGUUUUAGAAGUAGCAUUCAAAUCAUAUUAUUCUUUGAAUGCACAUUAUUCACCAGAAGCUAAGGCUGUAUGGCAGUUCAUAGAAUUAGCGUUAUUUAAACUGGAACCCUAGCAGACCUGAGUUACCGUAAAUUUACGGUAUUUUUACCGUAAAUCUACCGUAGAAUACCGUAAAAUUCGAGUGGAUUUACCGUAAAUUACGGUAAAUCCACCGUAAAUUGCGGUAAAUCCACCGUAAUUUACGGUAAAUCAGUACUUUACGGUGGAUUACCGUAAAUUACGGCGGGUAUACCGUAAAUUUACCGUCGAAUACGAUAAAUCUACCGUAAAAAAAAUCGUGUGGAUCACCGAAUUACCGUAAUUUACGGUGGAUUACCGUAUUUCCGUAUUUUACGGUAAAUCCACCGUAAAUUACGGAAAAUACACCGUAAAUUACUGUGAAACCACCGUAAAUUACGGUAAAUCCACCGUAAUUUACGGUAAAUCGGUAUUUUACGGUGGAUUACCGUAAUUUACGGUGGGUUUACCGUAAUUUACCGUAAUUUGGGUUCGUAAGGGUUAAGAAAAACAAAAACUUUCAGUUCCAGUUGCUGUAACCUCUUUGAUUGGUGAGCUCAGUAUUAAUUUCAACUAGAGCUUUUUAUUUUAUUUGUCUUAAUUUAUAUUUUAUACUUUAUAAUUCUUAUAUAUUUUUUUUAAUAUUUUAAAUAAUUUAUCAAGAUGUCAUAUGUAUGUUCAUGUUCAAAAAUAUUUACUCUAGAUGUUGCGUUUAGUAAUCUUGUUCUUUAUGAACACUCAAACAUUAAUACAUUAACAUCAUUCUAAUGUAUAGGCACUUGCACUCGCAAGUUUGAUAGUAUAAAAAACUAUUGAAAACAUUUAAAACAAAAACAUUCUAAUGAUAUUAAACAAAUAAGUAAUGAAGACGAUAAGCUAAAUACAAAUAUUGUUACUCAGAGUAAAGACAACUUUAUUGAUAAUGAUAAUAUAUUAUGUACUAACGAUUCCAGUUCUCAAGAUCCUCUAAAUUUUAAGUCUAAUUAUAAUAAUUUUAUUAAAGAAAAUUUUUCACUUUGUAAAAGCUCAGAUGAAGUACAUUUUAAACCACCUUUAACUGAGUUUAACAUUAAACAGCACGCUUAUGAGUUAACUUCAAAAUGGUACUCAGAAAAAGACGUCUCGCGAAAUAAAAUUCAAUUAAGAAUAUCAGAAGUUAAUAAAUUUUUUGAAAGUGCUGUUGAGUCUAUAGUAGAUGCGACUAAUGAUAUUUUAAAUGAUACACGGAAAAAAAUUUUUUCUAACCGCAAGAUAAGAUAACUUACAGUAACAAAUUUCUGCCUUAAUAUACGGAUAACGAAGCAUUCGUUAUGACUACAAUGUUUUUGUAACGCUAGCAAAUCGUUUGUUGCGCCUAGCAAUGGUUUGUAACUGCAGCAAAACUGUUGUGUUGCAGUAAAAAAAGUGAUUUGUUAAAAUAACAAAAUUAAUUUGUAGCACUGACAAAAUUUUUGUCCUCACAAGCUAAGAUUACUUGGAGUAACAAAUGCUUGCUUUGAAAUACGAUGAUAUUGAUAUCAUUUGUUCUCAUAACAAAUAGGCUUCUUAAUUACGACACAAUUUCAUUUGUUAUUAUAACAAAUUGAUUUGUUACCGUAAGCUAAUCAUGUUUGUCAUUAUAACAAAAUUUUUCGUUAUCCCGUCUUUUGUUAUGAGAACGAAACUCUUUUUUUCCGUGUAAUAAUGUUUCUGAUAGUGUUGUCUCUGCUAUAAAUGAUGUUUUUACAAAAAUAAAAAAUCCGUUUGAUGAUCUUGAAUCAGAGCAUUUGAUAUUUAAAAAAUUUAGAAAAAAUGGUACUCUGUUCCUUCCAGAAAAAGUUUUACUUGGAUCAAUCCCUGGAUCGACUACAGUCGAUGGAAUCACGAAAAUAAAUACACAUGAUGUAUAUGCGCAAUUUAUACCAAUGCGUAAAGUCCUAAAGGCUUUCUUUGAGCUUCCAAAUAUUUUUGAAAGGACUAUUCUAUACAUGAAAUAUGUGAAAGAAAAUACUGAUUGUGCAACUAAUUUUAUUCAAGGGCGUCUAUGGUCUGAAACACUUUCUAAGUACAAUUAUCAUGAUCUUGUUUUUCCAUUGUUCAUUUAUUUUGACGAUUUUGAAUCGAAUAACUGCUUAGGAAGCCACGCUGGCGAUGUUAGGAAAAUCGGUGCUUUGUAUGUUUUUCUUCCUUUUUUACCGCCUGAGUUAUACCGUAAAUUAGAAAAUAUAUUUUUAUUCCACUUCUUCAAUCCGUUGCACCGUAAAAUUUUUGGAAAUCAAAAAGUAUUUCAACGUGUAAUAGAUGAACUUAAUUUUUUAGCAA